GUAGGUGGCAAGCGUUGUCCGGAAUUAUUGGGCGUAAGGCGCGCGCAGGUGGUUCUUUAAGUCUGAUGUGAAAGCCCCCGGCUCAACCGGGGAGGGUCAUUGGAAACUGGGGAACUUGAGUGCAGGAGAGGAGAGUGGAAUUCCACGUGUAGCGGUGAAAUGCGUAGAUAUGUGGAGGAACACCAGUGGCGAAGGCGACUUUCUGGCCUGUAACUGACACUGAGGCGCGAAAGCGUGGGGAGCAAACAGGGAUUAGAUACCCUGGUAGUCCACGCCGUAAACGAUGAGUGCUAAGUGUUGGGGGGGUUUCCCGCCCCUCAGUGCUGCAGCUAACGCAUUAAGCACUCCGCCUGGGGAUACGGUCGCAAGACUG
rnacentral:rRNA from 1 species